GGAAAGGUGAAAAGAACCCCGAACAGGGGAGUGAAAUAGAACCUGAAACCAUACGCUUACAACCGGUCGGAGCAGCUUCGUGCUGUGACGGCGUGCCUAUUGAAUAAUGAGCCUACGAGUUACUAAUCACUGGCGAGGUUAAGUGCUAGGAAGCACGGAGCCGAAGCGAAAGCGAGUCUGAACAGGGCGUUUAGUCAGUGGUUGUAGACGCGAAACCUUGCGAUCUACCCUUGAGCAGGUUGAAGGUUGGGUAAAACCAACUGGAGGACCGAACGAAUAAGCGUUGAAAAGCUUCUCGAUGACUUGAGGGUAGGGGUGAAAGGCUAAUCAAGCUGGGAAAUAGCUCGUACUCCCCGAAAUGCCUUUAGGGGCAGCGUUGUAAUUAAGAGUCUACUGGAGGUAGAGCUACUGAUUGGAUGCGGGGGCUUCACCGCCUACCAAAUCCUGACAAACUCCGAAUGCCAGUAGUAUGAUUUACAGCAGUGAGCGACCGGGUGCUAAUGUCCGGUUACGAGAGUGGAACAACACAGACCAGCAACUAAGGUCCCCAAGAGUAUACUAAGUUGAUCUAACGAUGUUUUGCUGCAGAGACAGCUAGGAUGUUAGCUUGGAAGCAGCUAUUCAUUCAAAGAGUGCGUAACAGCUCACUAGUCGAGCGGCAAAGCGUGGAUAAUAAACGGGCAUCAAGUAUACCACCGAAGUUCUGGGCACGAAAGUGCGGUAGGGGAGCAUUCCAUUCCGCGUUGAAGCCGAACCGUGAGGUUUGGUGGAGUGUAUGGAAAAGCAAAUGUAGGCAUGAGUAACGAUAAUGCGGGAGAGUAACCCGCACACCGCAAGACCAAGGUUUCCUGAUCAACGCUAAUCGGAUCAGGGUUAGUCGGGUCCUAAGGGUAAGCCGAACGGUGAUCUCGAUGGAUAAUCGGUUAAUAUUCCGAUACUGACAUAUACCUCGAUGGAGAGACGAAGGAACGUAAGUGCCGCCACCUGACGGAAUAGGUGGUUAAAGGGCUUAGGUAUAGGGACAGAUUAAGAGUUAGUCCUUGCUGAAACCUGACAGUACAGAGAGCCUACGGGCAAUUUGAUAGUGCACCCAAGUCGACUUCCGAGAAAAUCUUCUAAGUUAUAGUAUAUGUCACCCGUACCGUAAACCGACACAGGUGGUCGAGGAGAGUAUCCUAAGGUGCUCGAGUGAAUCACGGUUAAGGAACUAGGCAAAUUAACCCCGUAACUUCGGGAAAAGGGGUCCCAUCGCGAGGUGGGCGCAGCGAAGAGGUCCAGGCGACUGUUUAUCAAAAACACAGGGCUCUGCAAAUUCGAAAGAAGACGUAUAGGGCCUGACACCUGCCCGGUGCUGGAAGGUUAAGAGGGGAUGUCAUCGCAAGAGAAGCAUUGAAUCGAAGCCCCAGUAAACGGCGGCCGUAACUAUAACGGUCCUAAGGUAGCGAAAUUCCUUGUCGGGUAAGUUCCGACCUGCACGAAUGGUGUAACGAUCUGGACACUGUCUCAACCGUGAGCUCGGUGAAAUUGUAGUCCCGGUGAAGAUGCCGGGUACCCGCAACGGGACGAAAAGACCCCGUGAACCUUUACUA
rnacentral:rRNA from 1 species